GUACAAAUCCAUUGCUCCUUUGAAAUGGCUGCGGCAGUGUCACGCAGCUAUGAUUCAAAAUUUCUCUGAUGCGAGGUGGAACGUAGCCGAAAAAUCACAACGAAAUACGUCCGAGGUUCGCCCGCGGGGAAACACACGAGGAAAUCCCAGGUAACCGUAUGUGAAACGUGAAUUAGACAGCUGUCAAAGUCCUCUGUAGGAGAAGAUGGAGUACUCAUAUAUGUGGUGCGCGAAAGGGCAUCAGAGAGCUUACGGAAGAGAGGAAAGAGAGGGGUUUGGCAGCCAGGCGAAUGGAUUUGGAUGUAGAAUGGAAGGCAAGUGGUCAAUCCCGAGGCCGAGUUUGAGGAAUCGUAGGCGGAGAUGAAGGCUUCACGUGGCGCGGAGAGAACGCGAACGAGAGAAGAGAAGAGGAAGAAAUGAAGAUAACGAGAGAAAGAAAGAAGGUUAGAGAGAGAGAGAGAUCGGAGCUCCUCGCUGGUAGGAUGGAUGCCGUCGUACGUUGGUACAGGCGCAGAGGAACCGUGUACGUGCCGCCGACCUGUACCCCGUACAAGGAUACACCCUAUUCCGACUGGUGGAUAAACGCGAUUUUCUUACAAUAUGGAGGAAUCGUAGAGGAAUCUCCAAGUCUGGCAACUCUUACAGACGCCAUUUACGCGCUCAUCGUUCUUCAUGCUGGACUUACAUGCUGACCUCACUCGGUUUUUCCAAAGGCCUCCAGCGAAAUCCGACGGAUGGUGCAUUAGCUCGCUCGGACCAGCCUAAUGACGCCACCACAUCCCCAUAGGGAACCUUCGUUCGCGUUCGUGAUUUCUUCUUCUCUUCUUUCUGUUACACCAGUUCGGCCACGAGCGAUCCAUCACCAAGUGAAAAAAGUCUCUUUAUAUCGUGCUAGUAGAAAUGUGCCGCUUGCUUCUUUCUACGUUGUCAUCUAUUACUAGUACUCUCUUCUCCCUUCGUAUAUUCGAAACUUACAGCGCGCGUCCCGAAAUGAAAAUAUCCCUUAUAAUUUGUACAUAUUCAAUUCAACGGAAA